UGAAUAACAGGAAGGGUGGCAGUGACAUUCAUCAGUUUAUUGGGCAGCCUCAGAAAAGUUGACAGCAGUGAGAAAAUGAGUACCAGUCACACGAUAAGUAUGCAGUAGUACAAGAGAGUAAAGGGAGAGAGGGUGUAAGGAUGCCAACAGAGCAGGGAGAGCAGGUGACAUGGAGAGCAGACCAUAUCCACCUGCCUCACACUGGUCGACAACUCCUGACAGCAGGAGCAGGAGUGCAUCAAGCCCAUUUUCACUGCAGAGUACCUAGCAAACGGAACAACACCAACAGCACUGUUAGGAAAAACAGCAAUGAUUCUGCCAUGAGUCAACAGGGUAAAUUACAAACUCCCACUGAGUUCUCCUCAAAUUUCUGGAGGAUUAAAAAGUACCAUGUACAUGUUGAACAUUUACUUGCCUUGCUCCUAUCUGAAACAUGUUCCUGUCUAGGGGGUGUACCUGUGUUAUCAACUGCUUUCUCGCUACAAAAACAGAUGAACUCCU
ensembl:lncRNA